AGCAGUAAAGGUAAGCAGGUAUGAAGACGGGUGGGUGAUUGGUAGGUGUGUAGGUAAUUUGUAGGUAGGUACUUUGGUAGGUUAUAAAAAAAAAGUCGUUAUGAAGACAAUGAAUACACAAGUAAAAAUAAAUAAAUUAAUGAAUAAGUAAAUAAAUCAGGAAAUAAAUAAAGGAGACAGGUGUAUAAGACAGGCAGGUGAGGUAAUUAGAUAGGUCGACAUAGGUUUGAAGUUUGGUAGGUAAAAGAAUGAUUUGUUAGGAAGACAAUUAAUAGCCAGGUA